rnacentral:rRNA from 1 species
AUUGAACGCUGGCGGCAGGCCUAACACAUGCAAGUCGAACGAGUGGCGGACGGGUGCGUAAUGUCUGGGAACCUGCCCGUUGGCUAGCGAUCACUACUGGAAACGGUAGCUAAUACCGCAUACCAUCGGAUGUGCCCAGAUGGGAUUAGCUUGUAGGUGAGGUAACGGCUCACCUAGGCGACGAUCCCUAGCUGGUCUGAGAGGAUGACCAGCCACACUGGGACUGAGACACGGUCCAGACUCCUACGGGAGGCAGCAGUGGGGAAUAUUGCACAAUGGGCGAAAGCCUGAUGCAGCAAUGCCGCGUGUAUGAAGAAGGCCUUCGGGUUGUAAAGCACUUUAAGUUGGGAGGCGGUACCAACAGAGUAAGCACCGGCUAACUACGUGCCAGCAGCCGCGGUAAUUC